CUCAGACAGAUUGACGCAGCAGUAGGUGGCUUACACCGCCAGUUCAUGUGAAAACGGACAGAUUUGCUUUGUUGCCCGCACUGCGUGCACACACUACAGGCCUGGGUGCAACAGAAGUAAUUAAAGGGGGUGUCGUACAAUAGGUCAUGUCCGGGCUAGCUCUCCUCGACCUCUUUCACUGCAUGGUGCCCCGCUGGCUGCGGGGUUCAGAAGAAGGGCAAUCUAUGAUGGCUGCAGUCUUGGAGGUAUUGCUGAGGCUGACGGCAGGCCAGAGGGAGGCCUGAAGGAUGGAAACCAUUAUGGGUGUUUUUGCCCCUUUAGGCCUGGGUCAUAGGGGGCCAACAGAGAACCGGUCUACAUAAAUACAGAUGACCUGACAGGAAAACGUGAUUGUAACCUCUUUCACCCCUCUGAGACCUUGGAUCAAUUUGUAAACUGAGUGCCUUUUCAGUGUAAUAGAAGUCAAUUAAAACAGUAAUAUAUAGAAAGACAAGUGCACAUGCACUUAUACAUACUGGAACACACACACUCUUGUCAACUUUUCUGAGAAGACAUCAUAUUAACAUUUUCAUCAACAUGCCAGCCAGACUCAUGUCUGUGCUCAUGCCCAUGUUUAGCUUUAUAGCUUUGGCUGCACUUCAGGAUAAUACCCUUUAACACCAGUGUGGGGACAUGGGGUAGGGCCAGGGGGAUGUGUGGAGCUGGAGAGGAAGUGGAUGCCAGUGUGGUGGCCUGUGGUCGGGUGCCAGUCAGGCCAUCAUCGGGUGAAGGCCAUCCCCGCGAGAGAAGAUAUCACCAUAGCCUGGUUGGCUGACAGCUUCAGGGCCCUUAUUGAAAAAUCAAUGUCCAUUUGUGCGUCCAGCUCACCUGGCCGUCUGCCAGCUCGGCUGAAGUCACCUAAUGAAGCCUGAUCCCGUUACCUGAUUCCCGAUUCACUGAGUCAAAGUGACUUUGCAGCUGAAGUCAUCCACCCAUCAGGGACCUUGGGGGCAAGUUCAACAUAUACCAUGCAGCAUGUUGUUGUUUCAUUUUGCAUUCUGCUGUUUUCAGUGUCUGGUCACAUCCUAACAUGCUGCUCUGCUGCUCUCUGCGUUUGUAUGAAGUCAUGGUGAAAGUUGC